rnacentral:misc_RNA from 1 species
UUUCCGUAGGUGAACCUGCGGAAGGAUCAUUCAUAAUAAAGUGUUUUAUGGCACUUUUUAAAAAUCCAUAUCCACCUUGUGUGCAAUGUUAGAUCUCGUCAAUCUUGGCGAGAUUUUUAUACAUCAACUCAUUCUUUAACUAAUUUGUCUGAAAAAUAUUAUGAAUGCUUAAUUCAAAAUACAACUUUCAACAACGGAUCUCUUGGCUCUC